UACAGAGGUCUCAAGCGUUGUUCGGAUUCAUUGGGCGUAAAGGGUGCGUAGGUGGCGCCAUAAGUCAGGUGUGAAAUCUCGGGGCUCAACCCCGAAACUGCAUUUGAUACUGUGGUGCUCGAGUACUGGAGAGGAGAUUGGAAUUUACGGUGUAGCAGUGAAAUGCGUAGAUAUCGUAAGGAAGACCAGUGGCGAAGGCGAAUCUCUGGACAGUUGCUGACACUGAGGCACGAAGGCCAGGGGAGCAAACGGG
rnacentral:rRNA from 1 species